GGAGCUCGGAUGGAAUCCGAAAGGUGGUUGACCACCGUAGAAACUUGGAUGAAGUCUGGUUACUGUAGAAAUCUCACUGUCAGAGAAGCUCGGACAUUGAUGAAGUCCGAAAGAAGUUCGGAGUAGAGUCAUCCAUGGUCGGAAGAAGUUUGGAAGGAAUUUAGAGAAUAGUCGAUCACUGUAGAAAAUCGGCUGGUAGUG
rnacentral:lncRNA from 1 species